rnacentral:rRNA from 1 species
GCGGCGAGCGAACGGGGAGGAGCCCAGAGCCUGAAUCAGUGUGUGUGUUAGUGGAAGCGUCUGGAAAGGCGCGCGAUACAGGGUGACAGCCCCGUACACAAAAAUGCACAUACUGUGAGCUCGAUGAGUAGGGCGGGACACGUGGUAUCCUGUCUGAAUAUGGGGGGACCAUCCUCCAAGGCUAAAUACUCCUGACUGACCGAUAGUGAACCAGUACCGUGAGGGAAAGGCGAAAAGAACCCCGGCGAGGGGAGUGAAAAAGAACCUGAAACCGUGUACGUACAAGCAGUGGGAGCCUCUUAAUGGGGUGACUGCGUACCUUUUGUAUAAUGGGUCAGCGACUUAUAUUCUGUAGCAAGGUUAACCGAAUAGGGGAGCCGAAGGGAAACCGAGUCUUAACUGGGCGUUAAGUUGCAGGGUAUAGACCCGAAACCCGGUGAUCUAGCCAUGGGCAGGUUGAAGGUUGGGUAACACUAACUGGAGGACCGAACCGACUAAUGUUGAAAAAUUAGCGGAUGACUUGUGGCUGGGGGUGAAAGGCCAAUCAAACCGGGAGAUAGCUGGUUCUCCCCGAAAGCUAUUUAGGUAGCGCCUCGUGAAUUCAUCUCCGGGGGUAGAGCACUGUUUCGGCAAGGGGGUCAUCCCGACUUACCAACCCGAUGCAAACUGCGAAUACCGGAGAAUGUUAUCACGGGAGACACACGGCGGGUGCUAACGUCCGUCGUGAAGAGGGAAACAACCCAGACCGCCAGCUAAGGUCCCAAAGUCAUGGUUAAGUGGGAAACGAUGUGGGAAGGCCCAGACAGCCAGGAUGUUGGCUUAGAAGCAGCCAUCAUUUAAAGAAAGCGUAAUAGCUCACUGGUCGAGUCGGCCUGCGCGGAAGAUGUAACGGGGCUAAACCAUGCACCGAAGCUGCGGCAGCGACACUAUGUGUUGUUGGGUAGGGGAGCG